rnacentral:rRNA from 1 species
UUCGCUCCCCACGCUUUGGUCCCUCAGCGUCAGUUACAGUUUAGUUAGCUGCCUUCGCAAUCGGUGUUCUGUGUCAUAUCUAGGCAUUUCACCGGUACAUGACACAUUCCGCCAACUUCAGCUGUACUCAAGGUCUCCAGUAUCAAUGGCAGUUGUACAGUUGAGCUGCAGGCUUUCACCACUGACUUAAAGACCCGCCUACGGACCCUUUAAACCCAAUAAAUCCGGAUAACGCUUGCACCCUCCGUAUUACCGCGGCUGCUGGCACGGAGUUAGCCGGUGCUUAUUCAUAUGGUACCGUCAGCCCUUCACACGUGAAGGGGUUUCUUCCCAUAUAAAAGCAGUUUACGACCCAUAGGGCUGUCAUCCUGCACGCGGCAUGGCUGCGUCAGACUUUCGUCCAUUGCGCAAUAUUCCUCACUGCUGCCUCCCGUAGGAGUCUGGUCCGUGUCUCAGUACCAGUGUGGGGGAUAAUCCUCUCAGAACCCCUACCCAUCAUAGUCUUGGUGAGCCAUUACCUCACCAACUAACUAAUGGGCCGCAUGGCCAUCUUAUACCGCCGAAGCUUUAAUCUGAAAGUGAUGCCACUCUCAGAUGUUAUGGGGAAUUAAUCCAGAUUUCUCUGGGCUAUGCCCCUGUAUAAGGUAGGUUCCAUACGUGUUACGCACCCGUUCGCUGGUCGUCAUCAAGAAAGCAAGCUUCCUUAUGUUACCCCUCAACUUGCAUGUGUUAAGCCUGCCGCUAGCGUUCAUCCUGAGCCAGGAUCAAACUCU